rnacentral:lncRNA from 1 species
ACAGAGACCGAUACCGGUCCCGCUCCCCGGGAAGGAGUGGGUCUGGGUCCAGUCCGCAGGACCCCCUCGCGGAUGCUGACGCAGAAUGGAGUUGAGGUGGGGGCAGCGCUGGACCCUAGGGCCCCUGCCUGCCUCCUGGGGAGCCCGGUGACCCAGGCAGCCCUGGUGAGGCCGCAGGAGUCUGGGCCCUAGCGACGCCCCCGGGCUCCCACAGGACGAAUGUAGACGGUGAGGCCAAGGACGCCCUGCUGCCCUCGGGACUGUCCCUCCAGCCCCCAGCUUUCCGUGGUUAUUGGGCCCCCUCUGCAGAGGGGCAGGGGAGCCCACCCUGGAUCCUGAGGCGCCGAGCUUGAGGGACCCCAGAGCUCCAGCCAGGCCGCUUUCUUUGCGGAUGGUGAAGCUGAGGUCCCGAGGAGGGCAGGGGCAGGUCCCGGGCGCUCCUCAGGCAAAGGGAGCCGAUUUAGGGGCUGGGGUCACAGGAGGCGCUUCUGCGACCUCUAGGGCCCUAGAGCCCGGGAGGAUGAGAGACUGGGGGCCUUUCGUCCACCCCUGGGGCUGGGCAGACGCUCAGCCUGUGCAACCCGAAGCUGCUUCUGCCCAGUCCCAGCCGCGGCCCCUUUAAGAGGGGGUGGUGCUUCAGCCUGGCGCCAGGGACGCUGCCAGCAUGCAGGCCCCGACGGAAGCCGAGACUGCGCUUCGUGCGAGGCCCGGGCAGCAUCGGCGGCGUGGUCAGAGCGAGUCUCGGAGAAGAUGUGGUGGCUUCCGUUUGUUGGUGGAGGAGGUGGCAGGCCUCGGCGGGUAACCCAGAGAACACAGCCGAAGUGGAAUGUGGGGACGUCUGCGACACCGGGGACAGAGCAACUGUGGAUGAAGAGGGCUACAUCUGGUUCCUGGGGAGGAGUCAUGACACUAUCAAUGCCUCUGGGUGGUGAAGGCAUUGAUUGUCCUGACCCCACAGUUUCUGUCCCAUGACAAGGACCAGCUGACUAAGGAGCUGCAGCAGCAUGUAAAGUCAGUGACAGCCCCAUGUUGUAAGGGAAGCAUGGCACCAGCAUCUGCUUCUGAUGAGGGCCUCAGGAAGCUUCCCAUCAUGGCAUAUGGCAAAGAGGGAGCAAGCAAAUCAUGGUGAGAAAGGAAGCAAGAGUGAGCGGGAGGAAAUGCCAGGCUCUUUUGAUCAGCCGGAUCUCGCAUGAAGUCAUAGAGUGAGAACUCAUUCAUUACUGCAGGACAACACCAAGUCAUUUGUGAAGAUUCCAUCCCCGUGACCCAAACACCUCCGGGUAGGCCCACCUCCAACACUGGAGGUCACAUUUCAACAUGAGAUUUGGAGGGGACAAACAUCUAAACCAUAUCAAGAUUUUUCAUUUAUUUGUCUAAAUUGAUUCCUAUGUAUUUCAUAUUUUUGUAGCUAUUGUAAAUGAGAUUGCUUUCUUGAUUUCUUUUUUCAGAUUAUUCACCAUUGACAUAUAUAAAUGCUACUAAUUUCUGUAUGUUGAGUUUGUAUCCAGCAACUUACUGAAUUAGUUUACCAGUUCUAGCAGUUUUUUGGUGGAGUCUUUAGGUUUUUCUAAGUGUAAGUUCAUGUCAUCUGUGAACAAGGCUAUGAUUUCUUUCUUUCCAAUUUUAGUACUCUUUAUUUUUUUCCCUUGCCUAAUUGCUCUUCCAGGACUUCCAAUAUUAUGUUAAAUAAAAGUGGUGAAAAGUGAGCAUCCUUGUCUUAUUCCAGAUGUUAGAAGAAAGGUUUUCAAUAUACAAUGUUAGCUGUGUGUUUGUCAUCUACGGCCUAUGUUAUUUUGAGGUAUGUUUCUUCUAUACCCAGUUUGCUGAGGAUUUUUACUAUAAAGGUAUGUUGAAUUUUAUUGGAUGAUUUUUCAAUAUCUAUUGAAAUGGUCAUAUGGCUUCUGUUCUUGGUUCUGUUAAUGUGAUGUAUCACAUUUAUUGAUUUGCGUAUGUUGAAUCAUCCUUGAAUUCCUGGGAUGAAUUUUACUUGAUCAUGGUGAAUUAUUUUUUAACAUGUUGUUGAAGUUCACUAGUAUUUUGUUGAGAAUUUUUGCAUCUAUGUUUAUGCUUGAUAUUGGCCUGUGGUUUUCUUUUUUGUGUGUAUUUAUCUGGUUUUGGUAUCAGAGUAAUGCUGACUUUCUAGAAUAAGUUUAGAAGUAUUCCCUCCUCUUCAAUUUUUUGAAGCACUUUCUUGAAUAUAAUUAGUAUUAUUUCUUUUUUUUUUUUUUUGAGACAGAGUCUCACUCCAUCGCCCAGGCUGGAGUGCAACGGCGCCAUCUGGGCUCACUGCAACCUCCACCUCCUGGGUUCUAGGGAUUCUCAUGCCUCAGCCUCCUGAGUAGCUGGGACUACAGACAUCCACCACCACACCCAGCUAAUUUUUGCAUUUUUAGUAGAGACAGGGUUUCAACAUGGUGGCCAGGCUGGCCUUGAACUCCUGACCUGAAGUGAUCCACUUGCCUCAGCCUCCCAAAAUGCUGGGAUUACAGGUGUGAGCCACUGUGCCUGGCAGGAUAUUAUUUCUUCUUUAAAUGUUUGGUAGAAUUCAGCAGUGAAGCCAUCAGGUUCUGGGCUUUAUUAAUUAAUUAAUUAAUUAAUUAAUUAGACAUAGUCUUGCUCUAUCACCCAGGCUGGAGUGCAGUGGGGCAAUCUCGGCUCACUGCAACCUCUGCCUCCCAGGUUCAAGUUAUUCUUGUGCUCAGCCUCCUGAGUAGCUAGGAUUACGGGCAUGUGCCACCACGCCCAGCUAAUUUUUAUAUUUUUAGUAGAGAUAGGGUUUUGCUAUUUGGCCAUGCUUGUCUCGAACUCCUGUUCUCAAGUGAUCUGCUUACCUCGGCCUCCCAAAGUGCUGGGAUUACAGGCGUGAGUCCCCAUGCUUACCUGGCUUUUCUUUGGUGAGAGAGUUUUUAUUACUGCUUCGAUCUCGGUACUCAUUAUUGAUUUGUUGAAGUUUUCUAUUUCUUCACGGUUCAAUCUUUUUUUUUUUUUGAGAUGGAGUCUCGCUCUGUCACCCAGGCUGGAGUGCAGUGGUGUGACCUUGGCUCACUGCAACCUCCGCCUCCUGGGUUCAAAUGAUUCUCCUGCCUUAGCCACCCGAGUAGCUGGGAUUACAGGUGCCCACUACCAAGCUUGGCUAAUUUUUGUAUUUUUAGUAGAGGUGGGGUUUCAUGAUGUUGGCCAGGCUGGUCUCUAACUCCUGAACUCAAGUGAUCCACCCACUUUGGCCUCCCAGAGUGCUGAGAUUACAGGCAUAAGCCACUGUGCCCAGCUGUCUUCAUGGUUCAAUCUUGAUGCAUUGUAUAUGUCCGGAAAUGUAUGCAUUUCUUCUAGGUUUUUUAGUUUGUUGGUGUAUAGUUGUUUAUGUAGUUUCUAAUGAUUCUUUGUACUUCUAUUGUCUCAGUUAUGUCUCUUUUUUCAUUUCUGAUUUUAUGUAUUUGAAUUUUUGCUCUUUUUUUCUUAGUUUAGCUAAAGGUUUAUUUUGUUUAUCUUUUCAAAAAGCCAACUUUUUGUUUCAUUGAUUAUUUGUAAUUUCUUUAGUCUCAAUUUCAUUUAGUUCCCUGAUCUUUAUUAUUUCUUUCCUCCUAAUUCUGGCUUUGGUUUGCUCUUGCUUUUCUAGUGCCUUGAGGUGCAUCAUUAGGUUGUUUAUAUGAAGUCUUUCUACCUUUUUUUUUCUUGAUUUCACAGUGUUUGGAAUCUACUUUUUUCUUAUAGGCAUUUAUUGCUAUAAACAUCCCUCUUGUUACUGCUUCUGCUGUAUCCCAUAGAUUUUGGCUUGUUGUAUUUCCAUUUCCAUUUGUUUCAACUUUUUAAAAUUUCCUUCUUAAUUUCUUUAUUGACCUAUUGAUUGUUCAAGAGCAUGUUGUUUUGUUUCCAUGUGUUGUGUAUUGUCCAAGGCUCUAUAGUGACCUUCUUUAUCUCUUUUUACAGUCUUUUAUUUGUAGUCUAUUUUAUCUGAUAUAAGAAUAACUACUCCUGCUCUUUGUUGGCUUCCAGUUGCAUGGAAUGUCUUUUGCUAUCCCUUCACUUUCAGUCUUGGUGUGUCUUUAUAGGUGAGAUGGGUUUGUUGUAGGCAGCAUAUAGUUGGGUCUUGUUUCUUUAUCCUGUCAGCCAACCCAUGGCUUUUAAUUGGAGAAUUGAGUCCAUUUACAUGCAGGGUUAUUAUUGAUAUUAUUACUACUGCCAUUUUGUUGCUUGUUUUCUGAUCGUUUUGUAACUCCUUGCUUCCUUUCUUUCUUUCUUCCUAUCUUUCUUUAGUCCUGUCUUUCUUUGAGGUUAAGUGAUAUUCUCUGGUAGUAUGUUUUAACUCAUUGCUUUUAUUUUUAAUGAAUCUAUUUCAGGUUUGUGCAUUGUGAUUACCAUGAGGCUUACCAAAAACAUUUUAUAGAUAUAACAGGUUAUUUUAAAGAGAUAACAGCUUAAAGAAAAUAAAAAUGAACACGGAAAAAAGAGUUUAACUUUACAAUUUAACUCCAUCCCCCACAUUCUGACUUUAUGUUGUCUCAAUGUAUGUGUAUUUCUAUAAUGUCCAUCUCCUAACAGAUUGCUGUAGGUAUUGUUGUUUUUGAUAGAUUUGUCUUUUGGGCUGCAUACUAGUUAUGAGUAGAUUGCACAUUGAAAUUAUAGUAUUAGAGUAUUCUGGGUUUGUUCAUGUACUUAAUUUUACCAGCAGGUUUCAUACCUUUACAUAUUUUCUUUUUGCAUGUUAGUGUUUUUUUUUUCUUUCUUUCUGAUUGAAGAAUUCUCCUUAGCACUUCUUGUAACACAGGUCUGGUGGUAGUGAACUCUCAUCUUUUGUUUGUCCAGAAGAGACUUUAUGUCCUCUCCAUAUUUGAAGGGACACUUUUCCAAUACAGUAUUCUUAAAUGGCAGUUUUUUUCUUUCAGCACUUUGAAAAUGCCAUCCCAUUCCCUUCUGAUCUGUAUAGUUCCAAUUGAGAAAUCUGUUGCCAGACAAAUUGGAGCUUUUUUAUAUGUUAUUUGCUUCUUUUCUCUUGCUGCUUUUAGAAUCCUUUCUUUACCCUUGACCAUUGAGCAUUUCGUUAUUAUAUGCCUUUUGGUAGUCUUAUUUGGGUUGAACCUGUUUGGUGUUCUCUGAUCUUCUUGUAUGUGGCUAUUUGUCUCUUUCUCAAGUUUGGAAAGUUUUUUGAGUGUCCGUGUUUGAUUUUGAAUAAGCUUUCCACCCUUUGCUCUUGCUCAACUCCCUUUUGAACACCAAGAAUUCUUAGAUUUGGUCUUUUGAGGUAAUUUUCUAUAUUUAGGAGACAAUUUUUAUUGCAUUUUAUUCUUUUUUUGUUUUUGCUCCUCUGUGUAUUUUUUAGAAGCCUGUCUUUGAGCUUGCUGGUUUUUUCCCUCUGCUUGAUUCAUUUCGCUGGUUGAGAGCCUCUAAUGAUUUUUUUUUUUUUUUUCAGAGACAGAGUCUCACUCUGUCGCCCAGGCUAGAGUGCAGUGGCAUGAUCUUGACUCACUGCAACCUCCGCCUCCUGGGUUCAAGUAAUACGUCUGCCUCAGCCUCCCGAGUAGCUGGGACUACAGGCGCAUGCCACCAUGCCCAGCUCAUUUUUUGUAUUUUAGUAGAGACGGGGUUUCACCAUGUUGCCCAAGCUGGUCUCGAACUCCUGAGCUCAGGCACCUUGGCCUCCCAAAGUGCUGGGAUUACAGGUGUGAGCGACCACGACUGGCCAUGAAUUUUUUAGUUGAGUGAAUUUAUUUCUCAGCUCCAAGAUUUCUGUUUGAUUAUUCAAAAUUUCAAUCUCUGUAUUAAAUUUCUCUUGUAAAUUUCUGAAUUACUUUUGUAUGUUAUCUUGGAUAUCACUGAGUUUUCUCAAAACAGAUAUUUUGAAUUCUUGGUCAGAGGUUCACAGAUUGCUGACUCAUUAAGGUCAGUCACUGGUUCCUCACUUUGUCCAUUUGGAGUCAUGAUUCCUUCUUUGCUAUUGUUUCCUGUGAUGUGAGUCUAUGUCUUUGCAUUAAAGGAUUUGUUAUUUAUUUCAAUCUUCUCUGUCUGGCUUGUUUCAGUUUUUAUUUGAUAUGUUUGCUUGGGGUUUUUAUUUUUAAUUUACCUGUUGGUUUUAUUUAUUUAUUUAUUUAUUUUAUUUUUCUUUUUUUCCAGCUAGGUCACUGCCUCCUUUUUGACACUAGAUGGUGGCAUAAGCCCAGGUUUGCCUUGGUUCUGGAAAGCAAUUAGUGCCACCCGGCCUGGCGCUGUGGCUCAUGCCUGUAAUCCUAGCACUUUGGGAGGCUGAGGUGGGCGGAUCACGAGGUCAAGGGAUCAAGACCAUCCUGGCCCACAUGGUGAAACCCUGUCUCUACUGAAAAUACAAAAAUUAGCUGGGCGUGGUGACACGCGCCUGUAGUCCCAGCUACUCGGCAGGCUGAGGCAGGGGAAUCGCUUGAACCCGGGAGGCAGAGGUUGCAGUGAGCCAAGAUCGUGCCACUGCACUCCAGCCUGGUGACAGGGUGAGACUCCAUCUCAAAACAAAAGAGUGCCACCCAUCAGGAUAAGGGAGGUCUCAAAGGGGACAUUUCAGUAGUGUGGGAAGGAUGGUUAGGGGUUGUGCCCAGGGGACCUGUGGAACAAACCUACCACAUGGUGCUGCUUAACAGCCACGCUGAUUUGCUGUCUCCUUUGGCCAAAUUAGAGCAGAGUGUCCAGGGCUGGGGAUGGUGGUCCUGCCUCCCUACUCUGUCUCUGGCUGUCCUCUGGGAUAUUUCUUAUUCCAGGCACACUUUCUUUCUGUGCCUUUCUGUGGGUUGAGUUUCUGUGGGUUGAGUCAGGGACUCAACCUUUCUGUGGGUUGCUUUCUGUGGGUUGAGUCAGGGACAGGUUUCCUGCCAGUGAACCCACGAUGAUGGAGAAGCUGGCUGGCCAUCUCGAUCUCACUUUUUCCAGUGAAGAAUGCAUGAGUCAGCGAGUUUUCUGCACGCUUGGUGUGGGGCAGAUUUGAGGGAGGGGCAUGAUGGAUAUAGAAGUCUGAGUCUCAGCCAGGCACAGUGGCUCACACCUGUAAUCUCAGCACUUUGGGAGGCCGAGGCAGGCAGAUCACCUGAGGUAAGGAGUUCAAGACCAGCCUGGCCAACAUGGUGAAAUCUGUCUCUACUAAAAAUACAAAAAUUACCCACGCGUGGUGGCGCACACUUGUAACCCCAGCUACUCAGGAAGCUGAGGCAGGAGAAUUGCUUGAACCCGGGAAGUACAGGUUGCAGUGAGCCACUGCACUCCAACCUGGGCAAUAGAGCGAGACCCCGUCUUUAAAAAAAAUUUUCUUUAAGUCUGAUUCUCUUGACAAUGUCUCAAAGUUUUUUUCAUAUGUGGCCCCAGGAACUCUCAUCUUCAUAUUUGAGUUCUGGAACAUUGCUGGUGAUGAUCUUGGUGCUAUGUGUUUCUUUUCAGUUUUCUGUUGGGGAAGUAAAGCCAGCUUGCUUCCGCAGCACCAUUUUAGAACCCCUAGUAAAAUUUUCGAUUGAGAAAUAUUCUGCAAAUGUUUUUAUAUUUUACCUCCUUUUCAGUGAUCACCAUUCUCUAGCCAUGUGAUUGACAAGGACUUUCUCAUAGUUCUAUACCCUUCACCACAUCAUUCACUCUUCCUCCCGUAACAUUAUUUCUAGUCAGUCACCUACAACCCUCUCCUCUGUUUCUUCAAAUCUCAAUGUACCUUUUCUUUUCUUUUCUUUUCUUUUUUCUGAGACGGAAUCUCACUCUGUUACCCAGGCUGGAGUGCAGUGGUGUGAUCUUGGCUCACUGAAACCUAUGCCUCCUGGGUUCAAAUGAUUCUCCCGCUUCAGCCUCCCGAGUAACUAGGAUUACAGGCACCCGCCACCACGCCCGGCUAAUUUUUUUGAGAUGAAGUCUUGCUGGGUCACCCAGGCUGGAGUGCAGUGGCGCGUUCUCAGCUCACUGCAACUUCUGCAUCCCAGGUUCAAGCAAUUUUCCUGCCUCAGCCUCCCGACUAGCUGGGAUUGCAAGCGCCCGCCACCAUGCCACGCGCUCAGCUAAUUUUUGUAUUUUUAGUAGAGACGGAAUUUCAUCAUGUUGGCCAGGCUGGUCUCAAACUCCUGACUUCCUGAUCCGCCCACUUUGGCCUCCCAAAAUGCUGGGAUUACAGGCGUGAGCCACCAUGCCUGGCCAAUUUUUACAUUUUUAGUAGAGACAGAGUUUCACCAUGUUGGCCAGGCUGGUCUCGAACUCCUGACCUCAAGUGAUCUGCCCACCUCAGCCUCCCAAAGUGCUGGGAUUGCAGGUGUGAGUCACCACACCCCACCAAUGUACCUUUUCUUUAAAAUAUAAAUUUAAUUGCUAUUCCUGCAUGUAAUUAUUCUCAGUCUGGCUUCAUGCAACAGGAAGACCCCCUAGCCUGAGAGCUAAAAACUUCUAACUUCUUUACCAAGCACACCAUCUGGCUCUCUUUAUCCUGGGCUCUGCCACUGACUACCUGUGUGGCAUGAGUCACAAAAUUUCUCUAUCAGAGCCUCAGUGUUGUAGUUUGGUUGUGUAGUGGUGGUGGUUUGGUUUAGUUUUGUUAAUGCCAAAACUAUUUCAAAAAUCUGAUGAGACUUAUGAACUCUCUUUCCAGAGAAAAGCACACUCACACAAACAUUUUUCAAAUUAUUUCCAAGUGUUUACAAACUUCCUAGAGCCUAUCUAUGGACUUCAGUUUAACAAUCCUUGGACUGGCCUCCCAUCCUUUUAAUUAAAUAGCUCUCUCUGGCUCUAACUCUAAUUCCUCUUAGAAAUAAAAAUAGAAAAGAAACAAUUUCUAUCUCUGCUAAGAGCUCACCUCUCAGAAAAAUGGCGCUGACAUCUCUCAGCCACAUUCUGAAAAUCAGGAUUCUGGAAAGUCCUGUGUUCUAAGAUAAGUGGUCUAGGCAGGCCGGGCGCGGUGGCUCACGCCUGUAAUCCCAGCACUGUGGGAGGCCGAGGCGGGUGGAUCAGGAGGUCAGGAGAUCGAGACCAUCUUGGCUAACACUGUGAAACCCCAUCUCUACUAAAAAUACAAAAAUUAGCCAGGCAUGAUGGCGUGCGCCUGUAGUCCCAGCUACUCAGGAGGCUGAGGCAGGAGAAUUGGUGUGAACAAACUGAGGGCCAUUACUUUAAUAACUUAUUACAACUUGUUAACAGUUUGAUUUAUUAGCUUUUUCAGGUGUUGUAUAGAUGCUUAGAAAUAUUUUUGUAUUAAAUUUGUAAGUCUAGCAGUCAGCAUUUGAAACUUUUAAGAGAAACAUGCACAUAAAAUUUGCGAUGUGGUUUGAAAUGUCUUAGGAAAUGUAAUGAAUCAAGUUUGAAGUAGUGUUAAGUGUUUAAGGAAGAUUUAGUCUCUUACAUUUAUGAGUUAAUAGCACAUGAAUUAAAGAACAAGUAAAAGUGAUUGUUCUUAUUUUAUACCAAUAUUACCAGAUUAAUAAAUGGACUGGAGCUGGGCAUGGUGGCUCAUGCCUGUAAUCCCAGUACUUUGGGAAGCUGAGGUGGGAGGAUCACUUGAGCCCAGGAGUUUGAGGUCAGCCUGGGCAACAUAGUGAGACCCUGUCUCUACAAAAAAAAUAUAAAAUUAGCCAGGCAUGGUGGUGCACACCUGGAGUUCCAGCUACUGUGGAGGCUGAGGCUAGAGGAUCACUUGAGCCCAGGAGGUUGAGGCUGCAGUGAGUCGUGAUUGUGCCACUACACUCCAGCCUGCAUAACAGAGCUAGAACCUGUUUCAAAUAAAUAAGUAAGCAACUAAAUAAAUAAAUAAACUAGCAAGCUUUGUAAGUUGAAUUUAAAAGCUUGAAGACUGGAUAUGGUGGCUAGUGCCUGUAAUCCCAGGUAUCCAGGAGGCUGAGGCAAGAGGGUAACUUGAGGUCAUAGUUUGAGAUCAGCUGACCGGCCUGGGCAACAUAGUGAGACACUGUCUCUAAAAAAAAAAAAAAAAAAAACAAAGGCCGGGUGCGGUGGCUCACGCCUGUAAUCCCAGCACUUUGGGAGGCCGAGGUGGGUGAAUCAUGAGAUAAGGAGUUCAAGACCAGCCUGGCCAACAUGGUGAAGCCCCCUCUCUACUAAAAAUACAAAAAAUUAGCCAGGCGUGGUGGGGGGCACCUGAAUCCCAGCUACUCGGGAGACUGAGGCAGGAGAAUCGCUUGAACCUGGGAGGUGGAGGUUGCAGUGAGCCAAGAUCACGCCAGUGCACUCCAGCCUGGGCGACAGAGUGAAACUCCAUCUCAAAAAAAUAAUAAUAAUAAAUAAUGCUUGAGAAGAACUACAAUUUAAGUGUUGUAACUCAAUGUAAGAAUAAAAAUAAAAGUUGUCAUAAAAAAAAUUUCUGAGGCCAGGCGUGAGAGGAUCUCUUGACCCCAGGGGUUUGAGGCCAGCCUGGGAAACACAGAUAUUACAUAUUACAAGUAAUAAAAAAAAAAUUAGGCAUAGUGGCGCAUACCUGUGGUCCCACAUACUUGGGAGACUGAGGCAGAAGGAUCACCUGAGCCCAGGAGGUUAAGACUGCAGUGAGCUGUGAUGGAGCCACCGUACUCCAGCCUGGGUGACAGAGUGAGACUCUGUCUGGGGAAAAAAAAAAAAAAAGGAAAAAAAUUCCGCCCACAAAAACCCCUCUUGAACUUAGUAAAUCUCAGUUGACACGUUUAUUCAACAGUUUAUUCAAAACACGUUUAUUGAUCAUCUCCUGUGAGACAGAGGCUGUUCUAAGCACUGGGAAUAUGGUUGUCUUAGUCUGUUUUCUGUUGCUAUAAGAGAAUACCAUAGAUUGCGUAAUUUAUAAAGAAAAAAAAUGUUAUUUAGCUCACAAUUCUAGAGGCCAGGAAGUCUAAGAGCAUG